AUUGAACGCUGGCGGCAUGCCUUACACAUGCAAGUCGAACGGUAACAGGUCUUCGGAUGCUGACGAGUGGCGAACGGGUGAGUAAUACAUCGGAACGUGCCUAGUAGUGGGGAAUAACUACUCGAAAGAGUGGCUAAUACCGCAUGAGAGCUACGGAUGAAAGCAGGGGAUCGCAAGACCUUGUGCUACUAGAGCGGCCGGUGGCAGAUUAGGUAGUUGGUGGGAUAAAAGCUUACCAAGCCGACGAUCUGUGGCUGGUCUGAGAGGACGAUCAGCCACACUGGGACUGAGACACGGCCCAGACUCCUACGAGAGGCAGCAGUGGGGAAUUUUGGACAAUGGGCGAAAGCCUGAUCCAGCAAUGCCGCGUGCAGGAUGAAGGCCUUCGGGUUGUAAACUGCUUUUGUACGGAACGAAAAGCCCUGGGUUAGUACCCUGGGGUCAUGACGGUACCGUAAGAAUAAGCACCGGCUAACUACGUGCCAGCAGCCGCGGUAA
rnacentral:rRNA from 1 species